GAUGAACGCUGGCGGCGUGCUUAACACAUGCAAGUCGAACGGAAAGGCCCAAGCUUGCUCGGGUACUCGAGUGGCGAACGGGUGAGUAACACGUGGGUGAUCUGCCCUGCACUUCGGGAUAAGCCUGGGAAACUGGGUCUAAUACCGGAUAGGACGAUGGUUUGGAUGCCAUUGUGGAAAGUUUUUUCGGUGUGGGAUGAGCUCGCGGCCUAUCAGCUUGUUGGUGGGGUAAUGGCCUACCAAGGCGUCGACGGGUAGCCGGCCUGAGAGGGUGUACGGCCACAUUGGGACUGAGAUACGGCCCAGACUCCUACGGGAGGCAGCAGUGGGGAAUAUUGCACAAUGGGCGCAAGCCUGAUGCAGCGACGCCGCGUGGGGGAUGACGGCUUUCGGGUUGUAAACUCCUUUCGCUAGGGACGAAGCGUUUUUGUGACGGUACCUGGAGAAGAAGCACCGGCUAACUACGUG
rnacentral:rRNA from 1 species